rnacentral:rRNA from 1 species
CCCUUAGAUGUUCUGGGCCGCACGCGUGCUACACUGAGUGGAUCAGCGGGUCAGGUUGCGCGAAAGCGUUUCCUAAUCUUUAAAUCCGCUCGUGAUGGGGAUUGACGGUUGCAAUUUUCUGUCCUGAACGAGGAAUACCUUGUAAGCGCGGGUCAUCAUCCCGCGCUGAAUACGUCCCUGCCCUUUGUACACACCGCCCGUCGCUCCUACCGAUUGAGUGGUCCGGUGAGGCUUUGGGAUCUGAGCGGAAAGAGCGUUUCGCUGUUUCUGCUCGGAAAACUCAGUCGAACCUUAUCAUUUAGAGGAAGGAGAAGUCGUAACA